rnacentral:rRNA from 1 species
UACGUAGGUGACAAGCGUUGUCCGGAUUUACUGGGCGUAAAGAGCGCGCAGGCGGUCGUUCAAGUCGAGUGUGAAAGCCCCCGGCUCAACUGGGGAGGGUCACGCGAUACUGCUCGACUUGAAGGCAGGAGAGGGAAGCGGAAUUCCUGGUGUAGCGGUGAAAUGCGCAGAUAUCAGGAAGAACACCCGUGGCGAAAGCGGCUCUCUGGAACGGUACUGACGCUGAGACGCGAAAGCGUGGGGAGCGAACAGG